rnacentral:ncRNA from 1 species
GGAAUGACAAGAUUGAAUAGCUCGUUCUGAUUCGGUGGGUGUGUGCAUGGCGUUCCUUAGUUGGUGAGCGAUUUGUCCUGGUUAAUUCCCGAUACGAACGAGACUCUAGCCUGCUAAAUAGUCACGCCGGAUACCUUUCUGUCGGUGCUGACUUCUUAGAGGGACAAGCGUCUUGAAGACGCACGAGAUUGAGCAAUAACAGGUCUGUGAUGCCCUUAGAUGAUUCGGGUCCGCAACGCGCGCUACACUGAAAGGGGACAGCGAAGUUUUUCCCUGUUCGAAAGAACCGGGUAAUCUGUUGAAUUCCCUUCGUGACAGGGAUCGGGGCUUGCAAUUAUUCCCCGUGAACGAGAAUUCCACAGUAAGCGCAAGUCAUCAGCUUGCGUUGAUAUACGUCCCUGCCCUUUGUACACACCGCCCGUCGCUACUAACCGAUUGAAAUGGUUUUAGCAAGUCCUCGAUUGGUGCGACUUGGUGCAACACUUAGUCGGAUACUGAAAAGAAGAUCAAACUUGAUCAUUAGAGGAAGAAAAGUCGUAUACAAGGUUUCCGUAGGUGAACCUGCGGAAGGAUCAUUA